GAUGAAGAACGUAGCGAAAUGCGAUACGUAAUGUGAAUUGCAGAAUUCAGUGAAUGAUCGAGUCUUUGAACGCACAUUGCGCCCCCUGGUAUUCCGGAGGGCAUGCCUGUUCGAGCGUCAUUAUCACCCCUCAAGCCCGGCUUGUUGUUGGAUGCAGCGCUUAUCCCGCUCCUCCCAAAGAUAAUGACGGCGUCUGCGACGACUCCUGUACACUGAGCUUUCGGGCACGUACACGGCUAGAAGUCCAGACCCGGUCGCCGUCCCCCCCGCGGGGGACACCCAUUACCACAAGGUUGACCUCGGAUCAGGUAGGAAUACCCGCUGAACUUAAGCAUAUCAAUAAGCGGAGGA
rnacentral:misc_RNA from 1 species